rnacentral:lncRNA from 1 species
UGAACCCUAGCUUAUUGUUAGCAUAUAGUACGAUGCGUAUAGCUUUUCGCCAUCCUCCGUAACCCUUUCCAUCAAAAACAGCAUUCACCAGUAUCAUUCCCGGUGAGUCAGAAGGGUGAAGGUAGCCAAGGUAGAGUUGGUUGCAUCCUUGGUGCUACCAGUAGCUACUGCUGCUAUUUCAUGGGCUUUUGGAUUCACCAUUGUCAAAAAGAUGAGAGAAAAAGGGAGGAAACAAAUAACACGGAUUGAAAACGAUAUGAAAGGAAGGAUCAACCCUAAGGCUUUGAUACCAUGUAAGAAUUGGAAAAAUAUUAAUCGUAUUGAAUCAUUUUCUCUGUAAUACAAGGACGUAUAUAUACAAAAAUUUCUAACCGACUGAAUAUAUACUUACCAUAUUUACCCUAUAGAAAAAUAUAUACUUAAUAUAUACCUACCAUAUUUAUC